rnacentral:rRNA from 1 species
AGCGAACGCUGGCGGCAGGCCUAACACAUGCAAGUCGAACGGAUCCUUCGGGAUUAGUGGCGGACGGGUGAGUAACACGUGGGAACGUGCCCUUUGGUUCGGAACAACUCAGGGAAACUUGAGCUAAUACCGGAUGUGCCCUUCGGGGGAAAGAUUUAUCGCCAUUGGAGCGGCCCGCGUCUGAUUAGCUAGUUGGUGAGGUAACGGCCCACCAAGGCGACGAUCAGUAGCUGGUCUGAGAGGAUGAUCAGCCACACUGGGACUGAGACACAGCCCAGACUCCUACGGAAGGCAGCAGUGGGGAAUCUUGCGCAAUGGGCGAAAGCCUGACGCAGCCAUGCCGCGUGAAUGAUGAAGGUCUUAGGAUUGUGAAAUUCUUUCAGCGGGGACGAUAAUGACGGUACCCGCAGAAGAAGCACCGGCUAACUUCGUG